AUCAAGUUACAUUAUUCCAAUUUAUUGCACAAAUACAGGUAAUUGAGAAUACAUAAGGAGGUCACAAGCACACUAAUAAUUAAUGAUACAAUACUGCAUCGUGGGAUAGAGUAGUUAUGGAGCAAGAAAUUAAGGCUGGAUGAAAAGGUGUUCAUUCAGUGGUCUUCAUGGAGAAGAUGACAUUGAAGUUGAAAUUUAGAAAGACAAUUUGGGGCAGUGAUAGUGUGAAGAGAACCCCAGCAUUGUGCUCUGUGUCUGCCUGAGGUGGGCAUACUAUAAAAGGCAGGUAGGGUGGGGCAACUCUCAGAAUGAUCUUGAGAAAAAAUUCAUAAAUUGUGUGUUGUGUAUAAGAAAUAUGUAGUCAAUGAUGAAAAUAUAAAUUGAGUGAAAUAAAAGAGAUAUCAUAUACUAUACAACUGUAAAGAUAUAGAUUGGAUCCACUCCUAGAGGUCCUGGUAAACCAGGGUUAAGAGUCUGUAUGUGAACAUCCAUGCCAUGGAAGUGAUGUGAUUAAUACCUACAGAUGAUCAAGAGUAGAGAUGCAGCUUAGCAUGAUACACAGUGAAAGGGUAGGGUUUUUAUUCUGCUGUCAAAUUUGGAGAAACAAAAUUGUAUUUUAGAAAAAUGAGAAUGGAAAACCUCAGGCAAUUAUACAGAUCUUUAUAAAACUUCAUGUCUUGGCAAAAAUGUAUUAUUGACUGGUGGUAAAAUAUUUGCAUAGGAAGUUAUAUAUAGUGUAAGUAAUACAUAUGUGUGUGUGACUGUGACUGUGUGGGUAUGGGUGGAUGGUACAAAUCAUGCCCAACUGUAACUAUUAAGAAUGCUAAAAAAAAAAAAAAACCCUAAGAACCAAAUAUUAUCAAACUGUCAAAGUUUAACUCAACUUUCAGCCAGCCUUCUUUUUUUCUGUAUUUGCACAGUUAUAAUCAAACAGUUAAAUCUUGCUUACUACAUGUUGACU
rnacentral:lncRNA from 1 species